AACGAACGCUGGCGGCAUGCCUAACACAUGCAAGUCGAACGAGACCUUCGGGUCUAGUGGCGCACGGGUGCGUAACGCGUGGGAACCUGCCCUUAGGUUCGGAAUAACUCCCCGAAAGGGGUGCUAAUACCGGAUAAUGUCUUCGGACCAAAGAUUUAUCGCCUUUGGAUGGGCCCGCGUUGGAUUAGCUAGUUGGUAGGGUAAAAGCCUACCAAGGCGACGUUCCAUGGCUGGUCGGAGAGGAUGAUCAGCCACACUGGGACUGAGACACGGCCCAGAAUCCUACGGGAGGCAGCAGUGGGGAAUAUUAGACAAUGGGCGAAAGCCUGAUCCAGCAAUGCCGCGUGAGUGAUGAAGGCCUUAGGGUUGUAAAGCUCUUUUACCCGAGAUGAUAAUGACAGUACCGGGAGAAUAAGCUCCGGCUAACUCCGUG
rnacentral:rRNA from 1 species